rnacentral:rRNA from 1 species
GGAAGGAUCAUUACCGAAUUGCAAACACGAGUUGUUGCUGGUCCUCAAACGGGGGCAUGUGCACACUCUGUUUACACAUCCACUCACACCUGUGCACCUUCUGUAGUUCUGUGGCAUGGGGGGCUCUGUCCUCCUGUCGUGGUCCUACGUCUUUACACACACCCUGUAACAAAGUCUCAUGGAAUGCAUGGUGCGUUUAACGCAAUACAAUACAACUUUCAGCAACGGAUCUCUUGGCUCUCGCAUCGAUGAAGAACGCAGCGAAAUGCGAUAAGUAAUGUGAAUUGCAGAAUUCAGUGAAUCAUCGAAUCUUUGAACGCACCUUGCGCCCUUUGGCUAUUCCGAAGGGCAUGCCUGUUUGAGUAUCAUGAACACCUCAACUCUUGUGGUUUGCCACGAUGAGCUUGGACUUUGGGGGUUUUGCUGGCCUACGGUCAGCUCCUCUUAAAUGGAUCAGCUUGCCAGUGUUUGGUGGCAUCACAGGUGUGAUAACUAUCUACGCUUGUGGUUUUCCACCAGAUAACCUUCAGUGAUGGAGGUUCGCUGGAGCUCAUAAAUGUCUCUCCUCAGUGAAGACAGCUUUUUUGAACAUUUGAUCUCAAAUCAGGUAGGACUACCCGCUGAACUUAAGCAUAUCAAUAAGCGGAGGAAAA